rnacentral:rRNA from 1 species
UUGGGCGUAAAGGGAGCGUAGGCGGCACGGUAAGUCAGAUGUGAAAUCCCGAGGCUCAACCCGGGAACUGCAUCUGAUACUGCCUUGCUUGAGUAAUGGAGGGGUAACUGGAAUUUCGGGUGUAGCAGUGAAAUGCGUAGAUAUCGAGAGGAAGACCAAUGGCGAAGGCAAUUUACUGGACCUUUACUGACGCUGAAGCUCGAAGGCCAUGUGAACCAAAGGGAUUAAAUUCCCUGUAGUCCUGGCAGUAAACGGUGUGCGCUUGGUGUGGGGAGGUUCGACCCUCUCUGUGCCGAAGCUAACGCGUUAAGCGCACCGCCUGGGGAGUACGGCCGCAAGGCUAAAACUCAAAGGAAUUGACGG